UACGGAGGGAGCAAGCGUUACUCGGAAUUAUUGGGCGUAAAGGGCGCGUAGGCGAUUCGACAAGUCAACUGUGAAAGCCCAGGGCCUAACCCUGGAAGUGCAGCUGAUACUGUCGGAUUUGAGUUCCGGAGAGGAAGGCAGAAUUCCCGGUGUAGCGGUGAAAUGCGUAGAUAUCGGGAGGAAUACCAGUGGCGAAGGCGGCCUUCUGGACGGAUACUGACGCUGAGGCGCGAAAGCCAGGGGAGCAAAC
rnacentral:rRNA from 1 species